rnacentral:lncRNA from 1 species
AUGACAGUGCACAAAUAUUUUCAUCCAGUUUGCAAGGUUUCAUUGUACGUCCAGCCUAUCGAAUACAUUACUUUAAUUAUGUUUUUGUGUGGGAGGUAUUGUCUCAUACCCAAGCAUGCUCUUUAUUUGGUCAGACUGGAGAUUCAGAGAAAAACAAAACCAGUGUACAACUUUGAAGAGGGAAGAAUGGCUGCUGUGUCUCACACUGGAGAAAUGCUCACUGCCACCCAUCUGCACUUCUGGAGGAUAGCCAAGCCAAUCUUCCUAAAACAACUUUUCAAUUCUGAAUCUUGCCCCAAAUUUCCCAACGUUUUCCUUUUGUCUUCUGCCUGAAAUCCAAGCUCUCCAACCUGCCCCUAGUGAUUCCCCUCCCACCAAAAACACCCCGAAACACAGCCAAACAGCCCACCUCUGUCCCUUUGCUUGUCCUGCUACGACUGCUUAGUAUGCCUGUUACCCCCAGUCACCUCUCAGGACCCAACUAAAGGCUCUCAGUCACAGGAACUUUCUCGAUCCUUAUGUUCACAUACUAACUGUCUCUGAAUGCCCAUAGUAUCUCAUCUGAACUUUUCUUUCCUUUUGGCAUUUAAUAAAAUACUCCCUUGGACCCUUGCCAUUUUUAUGAUCCACCUUCUACCCUGGUUGUUGGAAAACUGUAACUGUGUGCCGUGGGAGCAGUAAUGAUUGUUAAAUCUUUGGUAGAUGGUAUUAUUGUGUGUGGUUAUUCACGCCCUCUUUCUUCAUGAAUAAAAUGUUUCCCCUGCCCCUUUUACUAUGGGCUCAAGACAUCUGACUUGCUUUAGCCAAUGGAACAUAUUGCUAUGUAUUACUUCCAAACAGAAGUUCUUGAGGAACUGAAAGANNNNNNNNNNNNNNNNNUUCCGUGCCCUCUGUCAUCAGAAAAGCAUAAGGCUUUCCUUUAGUUUAGGUCUCAAAAUAAGGAUAUAGGUAGAGGUUGCUCAGCUUGCAGUCUGGAGUAAAAUCACAUCUAAACAGUAGCUGACAAGAUGAACCUGAAAAAGAAAUAAAUAUUUGUUAUUGUAAACCACUGAAAAUUUGAGAUUGCUUACCAUAUAGUGAAAGCUGAUGGAUAUAAUAUCUAAUAUUUUAUAAACACUGUGUCCUGUAUCCACAAUA